GCAUUGCUGAGGAGUCUCAUAACAGGACGAAAGGGACGUUCAAUGC
rnacentral:hammerhead_ribozyme from 1 species